GAUGAACGCUGGCGGCGUGCCUAAUACAUGCAAGUCGAGCGAACAGACGAGGAGCUUGCUCCUCUGACGUUAGCGGCGGACGGGAGAGUAACACGUGGAUAAACUAACUAUAAGACUGGGAUAACUUCGGGAAACAGGAGCUAAUACCGGAUAAUAUAUUGAACCGCAUGGUUCACUAGUGAGAUACGGUAUUGCUGACACUUAUAGAUGAAUCCGCGCCGCAUUAGUUGGUUGGUAAGGUGACGGCUUAGCCAGGCAAGGAUGCGUAGCCGGCCUGAGAGGGUGAUUCGACACAUGGGCACUGAGACACGGCCCAGACUCCUACGGGAGGCCGCGGCAGGGAAUCCUCCGCGAUGCGGGAAAGCUUGACGGUGCACAGCCGCGUGAGGGAUGAAGGUCUUCGGAUCGUAAAACUCUGUUAUUAGGGAAGAACAAAUGUGUAUGUAACUAUGCACGUCUUGACGGUACCUAAUCAGAAAGCCCCGGCUAACUACGUG
rnacentral:rRNA from 1 species